UAAGUCAAGCCUCAAAAAGACCAAACGGUUGCAAGUACUUGAAUAGCAUCCAGAACAAAACUCAAAAGUAAGGGGGAAAACAUUUUGUUUUUUUUAGAACAAACGAGACCGGGUGUCAGUGGCUCACGCCUGUAAUCCAAGCACUGUGGGAGGCCGAGGCGGAUGGAUCACUUGAGGCUAGGAGUUUGAGAACAGCCUGGCCAACAUGGUGAAACCCCAUCUCUAAAAAUACAAAAAUAAGCCAGGCAUGGUGGCAUGUGCCUGUAAUCCCAGCUACUUGGGAGGCCGAGGCAGGAGAAUCACUUGAACCCAGGAGGUGGAGGUCAGCCUUGUGCUGGAAAGAGCACGACGUGGGUAUGUGAGAAACAAACUCACCCAUCUACACCCGAAGAACGGACUCAGAGACCGGAGAACAGUGAAAAACUAUCCCUAAGAGGCCAGGUGUGGUGGCUCACACCUUGUAAUCCCAACGUUUUGGGAGGCCAAGGCAGGGGAAUCACUCGAGGCCCGGAGUUCAAGACCGGCCUGAACAACAUAGCGAGACCCUGUCUCUACCACAAAAAAGACCCAGAACAUCCUCGCCAGCCUGUGCUCCCUAUGGGGCACCCCCUCCAGUGGAAGUGAGGGCAGCCAUGCACCCCUGGGAAUGCCUUAGAGAGGGGCCAAUUGCCAUCGCCAGGGGCCUGACUCUGCAACCGUCCACACCUACGGGGAGUCCAUUUGAGAGAUGAGGAAGCUGAGGCGCCAGGCCCCUGGCUCCCACCCCCUCUGCUGGUCACCCAACCGCCCGGAACCUGGUGGCCAACCCGCUAUGUCAGUUGCUUGGCAGUGGACUCCUCUCCUGGCUCAGGGAGCGGUUCCAGCAGGCGUCCACCAGGUGGCAGCACCAGCACAUUCUGCAGGCUGUUCGGGCUCAGAGCUCGAUGUAGUGCUCUGGGGGUAACCUGGGCCCCAGACUAUCCCCUCCCAACCCCGGCAGCCCCUCCUCCCGCUCUGUCCAGCUUCCAACACGCCACUCAGGCCCCCCAGCCUUUCUUCCACCGUGGCCCAGGUCAUGACCUUGGCCCCAACUCUGGGCCCUGCCCUGUCUGUCCUUCCUGGUGGUCUGUCAUUCACUCCCUACCCAGGGGAACAGCAGCUGGGGCUGGGGGCAGAUGGCCACGUGGUCCAGUGGUCUCCCUCAUGGCGGCGGCGAAGCUGGGUGGGGUCAAGGGAAGAAGAGGUGGCUCCCAACGGGGGCAGGGCCAGCCAGGGCCUCCCAUCUCCUCUCAGGCCCCGCCUGGAGAUGGGGGAGGAACACCUUCCAUGGGAGGCUGCCCCUGGGCACAGGCCUGCAGACUCCCGCCUCAGCCCACCACACAGCCUGUCCCCAAACCUGCUGGGGUGGCGGUGCCCACCAGGAGGAGCUGGGGAGGACCAGCUGCUCUGAGGAUGCUGGUUGCCUCCCAGGAUGCCCCACUGCCCUCCCUGGCCACCCACUCCUGCACCCAGCAAAGUGAGCCAAAAACUUGAAAAGCAACUUUUAUUGAAGAAUUUGGAGGGAAAUUUUCAUAUUAUAAUAGUAAAAAUACUAAAGUUGAAUGUUGUAAAAAAACGCCGUGGUGCAGCAGCAGCGGCAGCGUCUGGCCAGGAGGGCGUGGAGGGGCCCAGGGAUGGCCACCCCCACAGGGAGUCAGGGAGGGCCCGGGGCGACAGCGGAAAGGUUAAGCGGCAAAAAGGUCAAGUGCUACCGUGGAGAGAUCAUCUGAGGGGGAGGCUCCCGGUGGGACAGUCACCAAGAACUGUGACACAGAAGGGGAAGGGGGAGGGCUUUCCUGUCACAAAGAUUAAAAACCCCCAAAAUGCAUUUGACCAACAUGAUACACAAUAACAAAUUUAAACCUUGCUCCUCUGUCCCACUGGGUAAACCCUGGCCCAUCCCCCAUCCCUGGUCCCAUCCCAGGGGCCCAGCCUCCAAUGACGUCCUCAGAGACACGGCCUUAGUGCUGGGGGCUGCCGUGUGCCUGCCACCCCCAGGAGAGGGUGCCGGCCAGCAUGCCAUAGUGAGGUUGCAUCUGGUGCCACCAGGCUGAACUGAGGCCCAGGGCCCCAGAGAGAUGACAGAUAGCUGGUGACACACAGCCCAGGGCGGCUGGCUGACAGAGUGAGGGGACACGUGGGCAGGACCUGCCCGGCCCCCCAACGCCACAUUGCGCAUAGCUGCAGAAGUCCUUAACAUUUCCCUAUGUGAAUUGGAUUGUUCUGAGGGCUGAGGCCACGUCCGGAGAACAAACUGGAUGAAAUAAAUUAAAACCCGCAGGACAAUUUUCUUCCCUACCCCGCUGCGGGGGAGGGUGCUGCCCACAGCACAAAAACGUCUUUCCACCUGGGCUCAGGAGGACGGCGUGGCUUCUCUCAAAUGCACCCGAGAAAUAAAAACCAUUAAAUACAG